ensembl:lncRNA
AAAUACUAAUGCCUAACUAUUCAACUCCUGAAUGAUGUGGUGAAAUUCUUUCAUGCUGCUUUCGCUUUUCCAGAAUGAAAAUUGACCUGCCCAGUGUCACCACCCAAUUUAUAUCAGUGGAUGCAGGAAUAAAGGCUUGACUGCAGGCUUCUUUAGGGUAAGGGGAAUUGUGUGUAGUACUGUUGUGAAUCUGCAGGUGGCAGCCUAUCACAUCUACCUCUUUUAGCUGUUGUUGGGCGUGAGUGUGUGUGUGUGUGUGUGUGUGUAUUAGUUAAAACAUGACCCAGCAGAAGAGUGUGUUAGAAGGACAGGAAGGUGGAAUUUAAAAAAAAAAAAGAAAGAAAGAAAGAGAAAAAAGGAGUAGUCGCCACGGCACCACCUCAGCGCAGUCCAAUCCCAUGACUCAGCCGGAUACGGACAUAACUCGGGAUAAAUCUGUAAUGUG